UUAAAGAGGGCACGUUCUGCAUGGAGCACUGGGUGUUAUACACAAACAAUGAAUCAUGGAAUACUACAUCAAAAACUAAUGAUGUAGGAGCGCCUGGGUGGCUCAGUCGUUAAGCGUCUGCCUUUGGCUCUGGUCACUAUCCCAGGGUCCUGGGAUCGAGCCCUGCAUCAGGUUCCCCGCUCCGUGGGAAGCCUGCUUCUCCCUCUCCCACUCCCCCUGCUUGUGUUCCCUCUCUCGCUGUGUCUCUCUAUCAAAUAAAUAAAUAAAAUCUUUAACAACAACAACGACAAAAACUAAUGAUGUAUUGUAUGAUGAUUAACAUAACAUAAUAAAAAAAAAAGAUACAUGCGGACAUAUUAGAGUGUUUACCAGUAGAGGGCACCAAAAGUGAUUGAGAUAUGGGGAUAUAAGGGAAUAAGUUAAAUUUAAAACAAGAGAUAUCUUGUGGGGAAUAAUGAUCUGAGGGUAUGGAAUUAACUCAAGCAGUGACACCUGAGAUCUGAAGAAGAAGACAGUGCAAAGGUUGUGGAGGAUGAUGAGACCCAAAUGUAGUAAUAAAGUUGUCUCUGGUCUUGUCUUGAAAAUAAAUACAAUGAAAAUAUAUUAUUCAAUUCUACUCACACACUGAGGCUGCCGAGACCUGCUCUAAGCAAGGUGAGAGAGAUGUUUAGGACACAGCAUCAGACCACUGAGCCUUUCUCAAUGGCACCAUCGAGAUUAGAGGAUUAGAACUAGAUCAUUUUCCCAUUAGAUAUCAGUUACGUAGGUUCAUACCAUUUCAAGUCCAUAAACAGCCUAAAAUCAGCUCUUGUGCACCCUUUGGAAAACACCCCUUUGACACAUCAAAUACGUCUCUUUGAAAAGGUUUCACCCUCUUUAGAACACAUUGUAAUUAAGAAUAUAUACAUAUUCACAGAGAAAUGCACUUACCGUAUCUGUACAGCUAGACAAAUUUUCACAAUCUGAGCAGCCCAUGUAACCAGUGUCCAAACCAGGAAAGAGAAAUCCCCUCCCUGUCCCUUCUAGUCACAAUGCCCCCAAGGGUAACCACUGCCCUGACUUUUAUCCCCCUAGAUUGGUUUUGCCUGUUUUCAAACUUCAUAUCUAGAAUCAUACAUUUACAGUCUUUUGAAUGUGGCUUUUUUCAUUUAAUGUAAUGCUUUUGUUUUGUUUUGUUUUGUUUAAUUCAUCCCUGUAGUUGCAAGUACCAAUAGUUCAUUGCCUUUUAUUGCUGAAUAGUAUCCCUUGUAUGCAUGUACCAUAAUGUACUUACCCAUUCUACUGGGAAGGAGCAUUUGGGUGGUUUCCAGCUUGGGACUAAUAUGAAUACAUUCAGAGCAUUUGGUAGACAGAAAUGGGGGGAUUCCCAGGGACAAAUGACUGGAUCACAGGAUAAUCGUGGAUAGGCAAGAGUCCUCUUUAGGAGAUCUUGGCAUUGUGACUUUUUAAAAAAAAAUUUUUUUAGAGAGAAAGAGCACACACAGGUGGGUGGGGGGCUCGAUCCCACGACCCCAAGAUCAUGACCUGAGACAAAAUCAAAAGUCGGACACCUAACUGACUGAGCCACCCAGGCACCCCAGCAUUGUGAUUUUUUUAAAGGAAGUAAUUAGCACUUCAACAUGUAUUGUUUGAAGACUGGCUUAUAUAAUGAGAAGAAAGAAUAGUGAAAAUUAAUGUUUGAUAUCACACUAGAACAGGGUACCUGGGUGGCUCAGUCGUUAAGCAUCUGCCUUCGGCUCAGGUCAUGAUCCCAGGGUCCUGGGAUCGAGCCCCACAUCAGGCUCCCUGCUCAGCGGGAAGCCUGCUUCUCCCUCUCCCUCAGUGCUCUCCCUCUCUCUCUCUGUCUCUCUCAAAUAAGUAAAAUCUAUUUAAAAUUUUUUUUAAAAAGGCUUUGACAUCACACUAGAACAAAAUGGACCCCUUUUAUGACUGGUGACAGUAAUGCCCCAUUGAUGAUAACUUUUUGCUUUUACCAGGCAUUUUACACUUGAUCUUGCCAAAAGGCUGAGACAUUUUAUAUAACUUCCAACUACUAACAGUUACCAACUAUUUGAAAAUAAAAGUAUUUCAUAUUGUUAGCAUGGCCCUAUUAUUACCAAGUUAUUUUAGCUAAAGCUCAUAAAAUGUACUUGACAGGUCAUGUACGUUAUUACUUAAAUGUUCUUAUUACUCCUUAAUAUAAAUGUAAAUCAACAGAGAAAAACUAUCUUAAAUCUAAAGUGGAUUGGCUAAAAAAUUACUCAUUUUAAUUUUAAUCGGAACACAUCUCAUGUGUUUUAUUACCAAGCCAUUGUCUUAACACUGAAAUUUUAAGUUCCAUUUGUUUGCCCAUUUCACAUGCACCAAGGGAGCUACAGCUCAGAGAGAAAACACAGUCAGUGCCUUGGUUCUUGAGAAGUUCUGGGGAAGGACCGGGUGCCCCAAGCCAUUUUCACCUGAGGAACCAGCCUUGUGACACUAGGGGGCACCAUCGGAGGAAAAGUGGGCCCCUGGGAGCAUUGCUGGUGCCGCCUGGCCUCUUGCUGUACUCCAAGCCAGAGGACAUCCUUUGCACAUAUCCCUGCGCUCAGUUCCCACUGCUACUGGGGCGAGUCGGCCGAUGAUACCCAUUCUACAGAUGGGCAAACAUACAUACCAAGUUACGCAGCCCAGAGGAGGCAGAACUGGGAUUUCAACCUUGGUCUCUGAUUCUGCAGCCUGAAGACAUUUCCACCUAUGGCUCCUCACUGUGGCCCUGCUUUGUCUGUGUGCAUGGGUGUGUGGGGGGGUACUUUUCUCCCACUAAGGCCAUUCCGUGUGCCCUCUCUCUUUUUUCUAGCACACUCUCUUCAUCCCCCCCUUAUACACUCAUCUGGAACUCCCCUCACCCACCCAUCUCAAGCCACUGUCUCCCCUCAGCCUAUGGCCAUAUAAUCAGCCUUCUGAGCUGCCCUUCCUCCUGCCCCUUCAUCUCCUCCCCACCUCCUUGUCUAGGUCCAGCUCUGACCUAGCCCGCUGGGGUCUCUGUCUGGACCUCCCCCUGGGCUCCCAGCCUGAGAUGUGGAGCCGCCAGCACAGGACGCAGUUCUGGGAUUCAGGAUUCACAUGUGGAUCCAACUUGGAUCUCUCCCCUGCUCCCAGGAAGGCCCACGUCCAAAGGAGAGAGAUGAAGUGGUACACUCACCCUCCCAACCCCAGCCUCCUCCUCCACCACCGCGGCAGCCUGGGAGCCGGAAGCCUUGGGCACAUCACCCUGCUCAUGCAGCCAGACAUUAGCACAAUCUUGAAUUUCAGGUCUAUAAAUCACUGGGGUUGGGGGUGGUUGGUGCUCAUAAAACUCUUCUUCCAUGCUGGUCGGCCUGCUUGACCUCUUAUCUCCUCCUCCAGACACCCUUCCCCCUUCCUGGAGACUGGCCCAAGGAGGGGCCUGGGCAUAUAUAGGGAGCCACCGUGGGAAGGCCUGGCCACAGAGGCUUCGGAAAGAGAAGGCAGGACCAUGGCAUCUGCAGCAACAGAGGCGGAGAAAGGGUCUCCGGUUGUGGUGGGCCUGCUGGUGGUGGGCAACAUCAUUAUUCUGCUGUCGGGCCUGGCCCUGUUUGCCGAGACGGUGUGGGUGACAGCCGACCAGUACCGUGUGUACCCACUGAUGGGCGUCUCCGGCAAGGAUGAUGUCUUCGCCGGUGCCUGGAUCGCCAUCUUCUGCGGCUUCUCCUUCUUCGUGGUGGCCAGCUUUGGGGUGGGCGCAGCACUGUGCCGCCGCCGGUCCAUGAUCCUCACGUACCUGGUGCUCAUGCUCAUCAUCUACAUCUUUGAGUGCGCCUCUUGCAUCACGUCCUACACUCAUCGCGACUAUAUGGUGUCCAACCCAUCCCUGAUUACCAAGCAGAUGCUGACCUUCUACAGUGCAGACACAGACCAGGGCCAGGAACUGACUCGCCUCUGGGACCGUGUCAUGAUUGAGCAAGAGUGCUGUGGCACAUCCGGGCCCAUGGACUGGGUGAACUUCACAUCAGCCUUCCGGGCAGCCACCCCGGAGGUGGUGUUCCCCUGGCCCCCACUGUGCUGUCGGCGGACUGGCAACUUCAUCCCCCUCAGUGCAGAAGGCUGCCGCCUGGGCCACACAGACUACCUGUUCACCAAGGUGUGUCCCCUCCCUGCCGCUCCCCUGUCUGUGCAUCGGUCUGGCCCCCCUGGUCCUUCUGUCUCGUCCUGCCUCCCACUUUCUUCUCCUCCUCCCCUCUCUGGCUUUUUUCUUUCUCUCCCGUCUCUCCGGCUCUCUCAACUCUCUUGCCACCUGUCCCUGCUCCCUCCGCAAGUCAGUGGGAGGCCCAGGGUCUGAGCUGGCACCUGCCACUUUUCUCAGGUCGUCUGGGAAGAAGAGCAACAGGAAUCACAGCGGUAGCACCACAACCAUAGUAACCACGUGCAUUGAGCCCUUACGUGGUGCCCGGCACUCUUCUAAGGGCUUUAAGUCUUUGUCUUAUUUAAUUCCCACCACGGCCUGUGAGGUGCAAUAUGAUUAAUGAGCCCAUUUUAAGGAUGAUGAAACUGAGUUCACUGUCUAGUGAGCGAUGGAGCUGGGACUGGAUUUCAGGAGCUUUAACCAGUGAGUGCAGAGGCAGAGAGAGAAACCAGAGGAGGUUAGACUGGGAGGAAAACCAGUUCCAACAGUCCCUCUGGCUGCUUUCGGCUGCCUAGGGGCCCUUCAGCCACACGUCUUAGAUCAGGUGUCACGGAGAGGGGACCUGCACCGACCACGACGGCUAUCAGAGCCCGACGGCCAUUUCUGAAGCCCAGCUCCGGGCAGAGUGCACACAUGCGUCAUUUCGUGGACUCCCCACGACCACUUUCAGAGGCCAGUGCUGUCAAGAUUGUCACCUCACAGAUGGGCAAACUGAGGCUCAGAGAGCCAGAAUCAUUCCCAGGCCCUAACAGCGAACAAAUGGCAGAGAUGGCCCCCAACUCAGUCCUGCCUGACUCCAGGACGCGCACCCUCAACCUUAGUUUGUGGGUGCUUCCAAGUCGAGGCAGGGGUCUACCUGAAGGCGACUCUGUUGUGAGGCUCAGGCCCCACUUGGCCUCCUUCCUAAAUGGGGACGUAUCAAAACUGCACCGCACCUAAAGGCAGAUUUCAAACCCUUGGAACUUGUGGGCAGCAUGGAAAGCCAGCUCUGCACAAAAUUGCCCUCAGACUGUCAUAGCCACCGCCAGGGUAGUACCUACUUGCGUGGGGCCUGGGUUCAACAUCACACCCCUGGCUCCCCAAAAACCAUUCUGGGGGUAGACACUGCCACAAUCCCCAUUGCGUGGCUGAGGGAAAGGAAGUGACCUUCCAAAGGGCACGCAGUGACUCUCCCUCAGUGCUAGCCCUACUGGGCAUUUCCUCAAACCCCCAUUUCCCCCCCACCCAGGGCUGCUUCGAGCACAUCGGCCAUGCCAUCGACAGCUACACGUGGGGUAUCUCGUGGUUUGGGUUUGCCAUCCUGAUGUGGACGCUCCCUGUGAUGCUGAUAGCCAUGUAUUUCUACACCACGUUGUGAGGAACAAGGAGGGAAGGC